UGACCCAUUCGUGGCCUCCACCACUGUCAGCUAUUCACACACCAGGAAAGGCAGAACAAAGCAAGUUUCCCUUCCCAAACAAGGAGUCACAACAGGGAUCUACAGGACACAGCAAUACAAGGAAAAGUGAUGUAGAGCCAAAGAGCCCAGAGAAAAGCGCC